UUCUUGGUCAUUUUANAGGAAGUAAAAGUCGUAACAAGGUUUCCGUAGGUGAACCUGCGGAAGGAUCAUCAUUGAAUUUCCCGGUUACUCACCGGCAGAGUGCACACUCACGCCGUCUUCCAGACGGCAAUAUUCUAACCCAAUUAAGUAUGUGAAUGUGUUAUAUUGUAAAAUAUACAACUUUCAACAACGGAUCUCUUGGCUCUCGCAUCGAUGAAGAACGCGGCGAAAUGCGAUAAGUAAUGUGAAUUGCAGAUUUCAGUGAAUCAUCGAAUCUUUGAACGCAUCUUGCGCUCCUAGGUUUUCCGAGGAGCAUGCCUGUUUGAGUGCCCAGAAUAAUAUCAAUUAACUACUUCGGUAGUAAUUGGAUUUGGAGGUCUGCAGUGAUCCAAAGCUGCUCCUCCUAAAUAAGUCAGCCAGUUGAUGUACUGCCGUCGGCUUGAUAGUAAAUGUCUAUGCUGCGAAAGUACGUGCACUAAGGCUGGAUAAUCGUCCUCGGACAAUCCCUGAGCCUCGGGGCCUCAAAUCAGGAGGACUACC
rnacentral:rRNA from 1 species